rnacentral:rRNA from 1 species
UGAGGAAUAUUGGUCAAUGGGCGCGAGCCUGAACCAGCCAAGUAGCGUGAAGGAUGAAGGUCCUACGGAUUGUAAACUUCUUUUAUAAGGGAAUAAAGUCAUCUACGUGUGGGUGUUUGUAUGUACCUUAUGAAUAAGCAUCGGCUAACUCCGUGCCAGCAGCCGCGGUAAUACGGAGGAUGCGAGCGUUAUCCGGAUUUAUUGGGUUUAAAGGGAGCGUAGACGGGUCGUUAAGUCAGCUGUGAAAGUUUGGGGCUCAACCUUAAAAUUGCAGUUGAUACUGGCGUCCUUGAGUACGGUUGAGGCAGGCGGAAUUCGUGGUGUAGCGGUGAAAUGCUUAGAUAUCACGAAGAACCCCGAUUGCGAAGGCAGCCUGCUAAACCGCCACUGACGUUGAGGCUCGAAAGUGUGGGUAUCAAACAGGAUUAGAUACCCUGGUAGUCCACACGGUAAACGAUGGAUACUCGCUGUUGGCGAUAGACUGUCAGCGGCUUAGCGAAAGCGUUAAGUAUCCCACCUGGGGAGUACGCCGGCAACGGUGAAACUCAAAGGAAUUGACGGGGGCCCGCACAAGCGGAGGAACAUGUGGUUUAAUUCGAUGAUACGCGAGGAACCUUACCCGGGCUUGAAUUGCAGACGAAUUGCUUGGAAACAGGCAAGCCGCAAGGCGUCUGUGAAGGUGCUGCAUGGUUGUCGUCAGCUCGUGCCGUGAGGUGUCGGCUUAAGUGCCAUAACGAGCGCAACCCUCGUGUCCAGUUACUAGCAGGUUAUGCUGAGGACUCUGGACAGACUGCCAUCGUAAGAUGUGAGGAAGGUGGGGAUGACGUCAAAUCAGCACGGCCCUUACGUCCGGGGCUACACACGUGUUACAAUGGGGGGUACAGCAGGCAGCUACCGGGCGACCGGAUGCCAAUCCCGAAAGCCUCUCUCAGUUCGGACUGGAGUCUGCAACCCGACUCCACGAAGCUGGAUUCGCUAGUAAUCGCGCAUCAGCCACGGCGCGGUGAAUACGUUCCC